CACUAAAUACCUGAUAUAAAUAUUAAUAAUUUUAUACUAAGUUUAUAAAAACAUUAUUAAAUUAAGUAAAGGAGAUUAAAACUUAUUUCAUUAUAUCGUAGAUGAAGUACCGUGAGGGAAUAAAUUCACUAUAAACCAAGAAAAAAUUAAAAUUUGUACCUUUUGCAUCAUGGCUUAACAAGAUAUUUAUUUUAUAUAAAAAUUUCUCGAAAUCUAAUGGGCUAUCUUUAUUCAAUUUAUUAGAGCUUUAGAAUUAGUUGUGGCAAAAACUUUUUUAGAAGUAAAGAUAGAAAUGAAAUUUUAUCCGUAUUAGAUGAUAGCUAGUUCUUCUUAAAGACAUAUAAGUGUUCAAAAUUAAUUUUAUUUAUAUAAUAAAACUAUAUAAAAGAUUUAAUUUUGUUAAAUUUCUGAGGAUAAGCUCUGAAAUACUAAUAACAUGUGUAUAGCUAUUAUAAUUAAAAUUUAGGCUUGAAAAUAGCUAAAAUUCUUGAUUUUGUUAUAAUUCCAUUAAAAACACAAUAAAAUAAUUAAUUUACUUGUAAUUUAAAGAAGAAAAUUUUUAAACCCGAGUAAAAUUGAAUUUAUGUUAAGAUGAGUAUUAAUUACCGUAUAAACUUGAGAGCUAUAUAUUCUUAAAUUUCAUGAUUUAUAUCAAAUUAAAACUACGAAAAGGAACUCGGCAAAUCUACAUUCUGCCUGUUUAGCAAAAACAUGGCUCUUCGUUAAAAGUAUAUGGGGAGUCGGACCUGCCCAGUGAAUUUUUCAACGGCCGCGGUACUCUGACCGUGCAAAGGUAGCAUAAUCAUUUGCCUUAUAACUGAAGGCUAGUAUGAACGGUUUGACAAGAAUGUAACUGUCUCUUCGUAAUUUUAUAGAAUUUUAUAUGCAGGUGAAGAAGCCUGUUCAAAAUUAAAAGACAAGAAGACCCUAUCGAGCUUUAAAAAAAUUAAUAGGUUAUUUUAUUAAUUAAAUUAAAAAUUAUUCUAUUAAAAAUUUUGGUUGGGGCGACUGAGGAACAAAAAAAGCUUCCUUCAAAUUUAAAUACUAUACUAGUAUUGAUCCAAAAAUUUUGAUUAAGGAAAUUAGUUACCGUAGGGAUAACAGCAUUAUCUUUUUUAAGAGUUCUUAUCGAAAAAAAGGUUUGUGACCUCGAUGUUGGACCAGAAUAUCCUAAAGGUGCAGUAGCCUUUAAGGGUUGGUCUGUUCGACCAUUAAAAUUCUACGUGAUCUGAGUUCAGACCGGCGUGAGCCAGGUCAGUUUCUAUCUUUAAUUUUUUUAAUAGAUUUAGUACGAAAGGACCAAUCUAU
rnacentral:rRNA from 1 species